rnacentral:rRNA from 1 species
AACGAACGCUGGCGGCAUGCCUAACACAUGCAAGUCGAACGAAAACGGCGGGUCUUGUGGCGCACGGGGGGGUAAGGCGGGGGGAGCUGCACGUAGGUACGGAAUAACUCCCCGAAGGGGAUGCUAACACCGGAGAAGGUCUUAGGACCAAAGAGUUAUUGCCGUGGGAUGGGCACUCGUUGGAUUCGCUAGUUGGUAGGGUAAAAGCCGAUCAAGGGGAGGAUCCAUAGCUGGUCUGAGAGGAUGAUCAGCCACCCUAGGAGUAGGACACGGACGGGAAUCCUACGGGAGGCAGCAAUGCGUAAUAUUGCACGACGGGCGAAAGCCUGAUGCUGCCAUGCCGGGAAAGUGAUGUAGGCCUUAGGGUUGUAAAGCUCUUUUACCCGGGCUGAUAAUGACGGUACCGGGAGAAUAAGCUCCGGCUAACUCCGUG